rnacentral:rRNA from 1 species
UACGAAGGGUGCAAGCGUUACUCGGAAUUACUGGGCGUAAAGCGUGCGUAGGUGGUUUGUUAAGUCUGCUGUGAAAGCCCCGGGCUCAACCUGGGAAUGGCAGUGGAUACUGGCAAGCUAGAGUGCGGUAGAGGGUAGGUGGAAUUCCCGGGUGUAGCGGUGAAAUGCGUAGAGAUCGGGAGGAACACCAGUGGCGAAGGCGGCUACCUGGACCAGCACUGACACUGAGGCACGAAAGCGUGGGGAGCAACAGG